UUGGACAAUGGUGCAACUUUGCAAUGUAUGCUUUAUUGUCAGAUUACGUAUCAGACAUUGCCUCAAUUUGAACUAGUUUCUUCUUUUAAAAUUAGGCUGGAUGUGAUGUAAUCUGUGUUUCUUGUUUGGCUUAAAUGAUACUUAAAAAUGAUCAUGUGGUCUGCAUGUGCAUAUGGCUUUUUCAGCAUGGGAAUUGACAUAUUUGCUGAUAUCUAGUCAUGGGAAUCUCCUUGAUUUUAUGAGCUUUUUUAUUAUUUCAUUAAGUAUACAUAUAGAUCUCUGGUUGUUGAGAGUGCUCGUUAGAACUAGCAUUAGUCUUUAGUGAGUUUUGUUUAUUAUCUUAAUUUUCUGAAUCCGAUGACUCAUAUGUGCUUAUAUAUUUGAGUUUCACUUUCUUUAGUCACCCUUUAGAUUUAGCACUUCUAUUGCUUUCAUCUGAUCAUUAUACCAUCUCUCACACCAUCCCUUCCUUGUUGGCUGAUUCCAUAUGACUCAUGGCAAUCUUUAGUUUUCCUCUUAGAUGUUCUUUAUGGAUGAUCAACAUUGAGUUCAAGAAGCAUAAUCAUGGAGGGAGAGCAGCAAUGAGCUUGGGGGGGAGGGGGCAUUUGUGUCAGAAACUUUAGUGGAGCAUGUACAUCAUCAACAUAUUAAUUUGGUUUACUUUCUGAAUGCAUUCUUUGAUUCUUUGAUACUUGUUUUAUUUGUAAAUGAGAUUAUAGAUUUAGUUAUAUUCUAAUGUGUUAGCCAUCAGGCCUCUUUGGUACAAAAUUACCCGCAUAAUAAACAAACCCGACCAUUUUUCUCGAGAGGGGGAGAAAAAAAAAGGACAAAUAUCCCCCGCCUGCGAGCCCUGACCAGUAGAACGUCUUAGAAUCCCCAAAGCAAACCCCAAUCCCCUCAUUCGUUCUUGAACCCCUCUCAAUUAACAUUCCCAUGACCAGGCUUUGAGACCACCGCUGUGAAUCUAAAGGAGAGAAAGAAGAGAAGAAAGAAUUGAAGGUAUCCUUUAUGCACUUCUUUCUCUCAAAACCUGUCGGUGUUGGAUCGCACAGCUGAAAUCUUCCCCGAUACCCGAAAAUACGGUGAGAAUCGAAGUUGAAAUCUUCCCCAAUGCUUGGUAGUAUCCGUCUUUCUUGGAUCGUACAGCUGAAAUCUUCCUUGAUGAUCGGCGGAUGCAGCGUGCAUUUUCUUCCGUUGUCGUCCAUGGCGUGUGUUCCAUUUCUUCGAUCUAUCUAUCGUAGGCACGGCAUGUCGAAUCAGAAUUUCCUACACAAAAUAUCUAGAUAUUUUGGAGCUACAGUAGAAAAGAGAAUCCUAGAUCAAUGGGAUAUGCCACAACAUACAUGUGGCCACGGUGACCCAAGAUUUACUGGUCUUGGUAAGAAACCAACUAUACUUGGUCAAUAUUUCAUAUAUCAUUUCAUAUCAGAAUUCUUACUGCUUUUCAUUCAGUUCGGGCUGUCCACUAUUUUCCUACAGCUUACGGUUGCAUGGCUUUCACAUCAACUUAAGCAUCCUCUUGUCUACUACAAUUAUAUCAUUGUGCAGGCAUUUUCUGUUGGGCCCAUUUUUCAUUCUAUUAUAUCGUUUUGGUGAUCCCUAUACUUAUAAAUCCUGUUUUGGUUGUCUCUAUAGAUGUAAAUCUAUUUUGGCUUGUAUAUCUUAUUGCUUACCUGUACUCUUCAGCUUUAAUUAAUAUAUCCCGGUCCAGUUUGGACCAGGUUCACACACACACACACACAAGAAAAAAAAAGCAUUGUACAUGAAUUUACUGUAAAUAUUUGUGCAAAAAAAUGCGUAUUUGUGACACAAGCUAGUAGUUUGGCUGAUGGGUGCCCAUCUGUCUAAGUAUUUCAUGUUUAAAUAUCAGUAAUGGCCUAUGGAUUAAAGAAAAUGGUGUAUUUUUGUUUUUUUAUCAAAUUAUUGCAUAACCACUGCAAUAUGACAUGUAUGACGAAGCUUAGUUUGGCAAACUUUGAAACAUGAAAAGGACCUAUUAAUAAAGAUAGAAAAGGAAGAUAAAUAGGUGGAACAAGAAAUCUAACUUGAUAACUUUCUUAGAAGACAACUCCUAGGAUAAAUAUUGUGUAGUAAUGCUGCGCUAGGUUAACUCAACGUUGCCCAAGCCUAAAAUGUGGCUUGGAUUAGCUGAGACUAAUAUUUUGCAAAACUGGACUGGAUUUGGAAUAGCAGAUACUAUUAGAAUGGUUGAGUUUGGUUUGAACGCCUAAGCAACAAAAUCUAACCCAAUUCUAACUUGCUUUCUAGUCCAUCCAAUCGAUCCCAAAUUGGGCAUGCAGCUCUUCCAAAUACUAGGCCCUUAAACAAGUUAGCAUACCUCAACUUAACUCUAAUUGACUAAACUUAGCCUAACCAAAUCUGACACAAGUCAUCACAAACUAUGUUCAAGUUAUAAAUAGUGAAGUAAAGUUGGGUUUGGGUUCCAUUGAUUGGAUUCUGAAUAGGGCAGGCUAUGCAAGCUUUAAUCAAAACAAAGACAUGCUUAAUCUCACAAACUGUCUCUAACAUACAUAGAACAUCUUAUUAAACAAGUAUAGGGACAAUAUCUAGUUAAUUUUCUUGAAAGAGAAAGCUGGUGUUUAUGAUGUACAAAAGAAAUUAUAAACACAUUAACAUAGACAGAGUAUAAAGACUUGUAAAAAAAAUAUAGUAAAAGAAACAUUUGGUGAACUAUUUAAAAUAGAUAUCCUGUCUCUCUCUACAUACACACACACAAGCUUAUAACCUCAUGCGAUGCAUGGGAUGUAAUUUUUUUUAAAAUAAUAUGUAAUUUUAUUUAUCCAUUUAUUAUAUCUAUUUUAUAUAUUUAAAAAUAAUUAAAAAAUUAUAUUUUAUGUAUUGUAUGCAUUAUAAGUUAUUGGACAAAUCUUGUGAAGAUCCGACGAUCCUGACUCAAUGAAACUUUUUUCUAAACUCAUCAUCGACAAUGUUGCUUGUUCACCACCAUUGGCACUAAUGGUAGUAGCAUGUUCGAGUUUGAGAUGAAGAGAAAGUAUAUCAAUAUACGGGAUUUCAAGUAAUUUAUGAAGAUGAAUUCAUCAUAUUUUUAAAUUAAUUGAUAAUAUAUUUAUACUUUUUAAAUCAAUACAAAAUUUGAGCCAUUGUCCAAAACUUUCCUGUUGGGCCUCUCCAAGCCUUUAGGCUCAUCUGAUUGAGACUUCUGAACAGAAAAAAUAGAGGAAGCACCGAAUACCCCCUCUAAUCAUACCAUCCGAACCCCCUCCUUUUUAGAGACCAAUCUUCGAAUGGAUCGUCUCCAAAUUCGAACCAAUCAAACAUCUUGUUGAAUCUGACAUCCAUCGUCGC